UACAGGGGGUGCAAACGUUGCUCGGAAUCAUUGGGCGUAAAGCGCACGUAGGCGGUUCGUUAUGUCGGAUGUGAAAGCCCUUGGCUUAACCGAGGAAGUGCAUCCGAAACUGGCGAGCUAGAGUACUAAAGAGGAUCGCGGAAUUCCCGGUGUAGAGGUGAAAUUCGUAGAUAUCGGGAGGAACACCGGUGGCGAAGGCGGCGAUCUGGGUAGAUACUGACGCUGGAGGUGACGAAGCGGUGGGAGCAAACAGG
rnacentral:rRNA from 1 species